CACAUCAUAUUACAGGAGAUAUGAAUUCUUAAUGUGCUAUCUGUAUUGCAUUAAUCUUUACAUGCUUUUUGUACUGUGUAUUUAAGAUUUUAACUAUUAAUACUAAGUUACUCCAUUACACUGAGAAGUCUGUGCUGGAGGCUGGCUCCUGGAACUCUUUCUGUCUAGGAGAAUUGCAUUCCCGAGAACUGACGUGUGAUUCUUAGUGGCUAAGGAGACCAACAGACGUUGUCAGGUUAGGAUUCAGCAGCUAUUAAUAUGAGUCUCUAAAAUAAGUCCUACAAUUUGGGAUCUAGACAUGUCUAUUUUUCUCCCACUUGCCUGUAGAGAAGCCUGGAAUGAGUAGUUCAGUUGUAAAUAAAGAGCUGUGUACAUUUAGUUUGAUUGAACCCCAUUUCAAGUGAAGGAAAUUUACUGCUGUCUGUUAUCUGAUGGUCUUCUUGGAAGGAGUGAUAUAAAUGCCAUUCAAAACUCUACUCCAUAUCUUCAGGAGCAAUUCUGUCAGAGAGGAAAAGGAAUGAAUGGGAUGCUUUGAGCACUACAAGAUUUUGCAGUUCUACAAAUAUGUAUCAACCAUUAUUUCCAGAGUGACACUGCUUGCCUUGAGAAAUAAUAAAUUAUGAGAUGAGCAGGACAGCACUUUUAAGAAGGACCUUCCCAAGGGAGUGCCGUCUUUGCUAAGCACUAUUGAAGAGAACUGAUGAAAAGCAACACAGAUCAGUGUGAAGGACGCGGCAGGCACUUCAACUCAGAAGCACUCUGAACUGCUUGCUGUAAAUUACACACCUGGAGUACUGUUCCACUCUGAUAAGCUCUGCCCUCUCCCCUUCUCAGCUUUGUGGAAG
ensembl:lncRNA